GGGAGCGGGAAAACUGGGUUGAAAAAGGCGGCGAAGGAUAUCGUUCUAGUUCUGCUUAUGCGUGCCACUUCACCGAUAAACUAUGGGAAAUUAGAGAAAUGUAUAAAGGUGAAACUGAAACUAGUUCGACAAACGUAUUUUGCAUAGGGUGAGCUCAACACGUGCACUGAAUUAGCCCAGACUGGAUUGGAGCUGGGAAACAGACAUUGGCAGGCCGAGAGUCCUGGGAAGGAUAUUUGUCGAACCAGGAAGGCUGAAUGGCAGCAAUUAGCCACAAGCCAAACCGGCCACAUGCAAAAUGUCAAAGAAACUUGAAGAAGGACUGUUUCACCCCCUGUGGCCUGCCAUAACUCCGCAUUUCGAUCUUGGCUAGAAAGUGUAUUUUAAGCGCCCCAGAAAGUGACCACGUAAAUCACGCUGCACUCCCACUUUCACUCCCAUUUUAAAUGCAUGUGACAUACUCUUGCAUUUACGGAGCUGCAUACGGAAUCACAUUUGAUAUUUGCAUGCGAAAUGUAUUUGCGCUCCACGAAGCACAACAAUAAACAUUGUAAAUAUA